AGAUCUCUUCUUUGAUGGCUGAAAUGACUUCUUCUCAAAUCUCACAGACUAUCUAAAGAUGGCAAAGAAUGGGUAGGAAGAAGAAAAGGAAGAAGGCUAGGGUUUUUUAGUAGAACUUUUCACUCAAAUUUUUUCCUUUUUUUUCUUGUAUCAAGCAUCCAACUUUUGGACCUUAUUUAUAAGGGAGGAAGGAAUUAGGGUUAGGAGGGGGC
rnacentral:lncRNA from 1 species